UACGAAGGAUCCAAGCGUUAUCCGGAUUUAUUGGGCUUAAAGGGCGCGUAGGCGGCUUAUUAAGUCAGUGGUGAAAGCUCCAUGCUUAACAUGGAAAUUGCCAUUGAUACUGAUGAGCUUGAGUACACUUGAAGUGGGCGGAAUAUGUCAUGUAGAGGUGAAAUUCUUAGAGAUGACAUAGAACACCGAUUGCGAAGGCAGCUCACUAGAUUGUAACUGACGCUGAGGCGCGAAAGCGUGGGGAGCAAACGGG
rnacentral:rRNA from 1 species